rnacentral:rRNA from 1 species
CAGUCGUGCACGCUCUGUCGUUCUUUCAUUUCUCCAUCUACUUUGUGCACCUGCUUUGCAUGGAUCUCGUUGUCUGGGGGUGGCUUCCCUCGGAUCAUUAGGACUGCUUUGCGAAAGGAAAGGAAAGGUUUCUUUCGUGGGCUUUCCUUGCUAUUCCAUGUCUUUUUCUUCACAUACCCCAGUGUAACCAUUUAAACGAAUUUUGAUUUGAUGCAUAAAUACAACUUUCAGCAACGGAUCUCUUGGCUCUCGCAUCGAUGAAGAACGCAGCGAAAUGCGAUAAGUAAUGUGAAUUGCAGAAUUCAGUGAAUCAUCGAAUCUUUGAACGCAUCUUGCGCUCCUUGGUAUUCCUAGGAGCAUGCCUGUUUGAGUGUCGUCAAUGUCUCAACCACACUGAUUUUGACUGUCGGUGUGGCUUGGAUCUGGGGGUGGUGCAGGCUCUGACCUUGUCGGUGGUCUGCUCCCCUGAAAUGCAUGAGUGGGUCGAACCUUCCAUCAGGUGUGAUACUUAUAUCUGCAUCUAAUAAAGGUCGUGCCUGCUGCUACUACGUAUAUGAUAAACUUGACCUCAAAUCAGGUAGGACCACCCGCUGAACUUAAGCAUAUCAAUAAGCGGAGGAAAAGAAACUAACCAGGAUUCCCUUAGUAACUGCGAGUGAAGUGGGAAGAGCUCAAAUUUGUAAUCUGGCAGCCUUUUGGCCGUCCGAGUUGUAAAUCU